rnacentral:lncRNA from 1 species
UUUGGGAGGAUUGAUGCAAGAAAGGCAAGAGACGAGGCUUGAUGUCGUCGGAGACGGAGAUGGGCUUGGAGUUGGCCUCUGUGAGCAACCGCGAGUUCUCCUUGAGGUCACCGAACAGGAAGGUGUAGGGUUUGCCGGAGAGGCCCUGCUGUCUCAGGAGCCUCUCGAGCCUUUUCGGCCUCAGCCACACCCAGUUCACCACCCUCCAUGCCCAUGUGGUCAGAACGGCCAGAACCGUUGCUAGUGCAAUUGACUGGAUCGAUGCCUCCAUCUUUUCUUCUGCGUGUGCGUAUAUAUUUGUCCGUAUGCUGUGAGCGAGAGACUUCAAGGGCGAUUGUGUGGUGUGGUGUUUAUAUAGCCAUAGCACAUACAGAGCCGUGUGUCUGUUGGCCAAGAAGCUUCUUGACCGUGACCAGAGUUGGAAUCAAAAAUGAAAGAAAAAUGAAAGAAAAAAAGAAGGAAACCCAAAAUAAAGAGAAGAAAAGCCUAUUCACCGCUCAAAAUGCGAGGAUGAGUAUAGCACACGUAUUAAAUCAGUUUAGGACAAGUACAAUGUCUAAUUUCUCAACGGCAAUGGAAUCUCUCCUUUGCUGGCAAGGCAUGUUAUUGAAAAAAGGAAAAACCUGGGAUUCACAUCUUGUUCAUCGUGAUGGUGUAAAAAGCCUUCGAUAAGUGUUGUAUCAAAUUUGAAAUAUUUAUGCCUAAUAAAUAAUUUUGCAAUAUCGUUUGACUAUCUGCAGUUUAUCAUCUCCUAAUGUACAUAUGAUGUCGACUUGAAUGGUUGCGAAUAGAGCAACAGGUUGUCGUUUCGGUUGUUUUCCAGCUUUUGUUCGCUCUCUGGCUGCAACUUUGGCUCGUUCUGGGGAUAAAGGCGAAGAUAAGGCAAGGAGUCAUUGUUAUCCGUGAGAGCUCCUUGUUCAUGCGAUAUCUAUGUGCAUCGUUUACGUUGGUUAACCUCAUUUUUGCAAAAGCAUCAAUGUAAAGCAAUUUUAAAUAAUUGUGGAAGAAUUGCGUGUGCCUUGACACAUCAAUGUAAAGCAAUUUUUGAAGUUUUCAAGCAUUCUACAUUAUACAAAGGCUAAAAGGGUAGGUGCGAGGUGGCAUGAUUUGAAAAAAAAAAGUAAAAAGAAAACCACUCCAAAUCAUUUCAUUUCGUUAAUUUGAAUGUUUAUAAAUCCUAAAAAAAAAUUAUGUAAAUAUUUUUUGAAUUCUUGUUUUCAAGCCUUUUCAUGGGUUUUGACAUAAGCUAUCUGGAGAUGGCCCACCGAAUGGAUAUAAAACUAGAGACACAGUGCAAUUUAGCUGUAACACAUCAACUUAUGUCUCCUGACGGAUAAGAAAGACGUAUUAAGUCAAAAUCCUAAAUACUGACAAUUUUCCUUGUAAAACAUCAUCCCCUACAUUUUAAGGCCAAAAGGGUAGGUGCAAGAUGACAUGAUUUGAAAAAAAAAAAAAAUUACUCCAGAUUACUUCAUUUCGUUAAUUUGAAUGUUUAUAAAUCUUAAAAAGAAUUAUGUAAAUAUUUUUUAAAUUCUUGUUUUCAAUCUUUUUAAAAGCUGUUUGGGGAUGGCCGACAGAAUGGAUAUAAAACCGGAAACGCAGUGCGAUUUAGCUCAGACGCAUCAAAUUAUGUAUCGUGGCGGGCAAGAAAGACGAGUGGAGAUAAAAUCUCGAACGCUGACAAUUUCCCCAGUAAAACGUCAUCCCCUGCGUAUGCAGGAGCGCGCGCUGGCAUUUUGGCCGAAGAUGGUUCAGCGUCGGCCCCACACAGCCAAAAAGGCAGACGGUAGUCAAUGACGUCUUGUUGAAAGCGGUUCGACGACAAUUGAUAAUCACCAUGUCUUGGACUUCUAGAAAAACGUCUUUUCGAUUAGCAUUUUGCUACUUCGACCCCUUUUUUCUUUUUUCUUUAUUUAUUGUUGAAGUAGUCCAAUGUACCAAGGGAUAGCACCAAGGAAGAAGCCAAGGAUAAACCUUCAACAAAUCAGACAUCCUAAAUUAGCUGAUGAUCAUAAAGUUAUCGAAAUUAUGAUGAAUAUAAGGCUCAGAUUUCGGUAAAAGAACCAUCACAUGGGAUUUCUCUGGUUUCAAACUUGAAGGCCAGGUACCAAUGAGAAUCACAAAAUAUACAAAUGUUGAACUCAUGAAGCAUAAUAAUCUGCAACAUCCAGGCUCAAGAAUUGUCACGCAGUCCUUGUAGUUAUAGGGACUGUUGACUCCAUCAUGCUUCACAGUUGGCUAUGCUCUAGCCAAUACAUGAAAUCCAACCCACUGGUAAAGAAAGUAACUUACAGAAACCAUCCAACUCCAAUACCACAGCAAGGCAGCCGUGAUUCUCUUACUGGUCUUCCUUCAGCAACAGCAUAACCUGAAAAAGUUUUCUGUGAAAUGAAAUCUCCCCCAGUAAAAUGUUGCAAAGCAUACAGAAUGAAGAUCAUCAAUCAUUUUUGUUUCAUCAGGGCAAUCAGUAAAAUCAUCAAUAUGGGCAUACUUAGUUCUCAUUUUUCCCGUAAGUUAUCUAUUCGAGAAAGGUGAAAAGAGAACCGAGGAGAAAAGGUUUCAGAGACACAUUUUCCAAUUUUUGAGUCCUACAGAAUCUGAUCAAGUUUAAAAGGAUACAACAGAUCAUUUCACCACCUACAGUGAAGGAAACCCCAUCAGUCACAGUAUUUGCCGGCUAAAAUUACUCAUCUUCCUCUAGCUGCUCCUAUCUAGAUGUAAUUCACAACUGAAAACGCAUCUGAGCACUUAUGACUUCAAAGUAAGGCGAACACAUAGGCGGAGCCAUAUUUAUGCUCAGUAGACAGCAUUUUACUCGAGACACCAGUGGCUUCCGCAUUUUAUCCGACUUAAACUCUGAGAACCCUGGAACAACACAUCGGGCAAAACAUAUGAUUCUCCUCUGUAUGAGCAUGAUUGACAGCUAAAGCGGCCACGUUCAAAGGAGUCAACAAAACGAGGACAAACGUGCUGGUCCGAUUAAUUUCACAUAAUUUCAACAUCUUCCAUGGACUCCUCUCCCACGCCCCCAUACAUCCAAUGUCUCAAAAGAUGAGGAUGCUGAACCUUUCGCCAAAAAACUAAACCCACCGGAUAAACCAUAUCCAUUAAUACAUCAUUCCAUGCUAGAGUGAAUAGACAGAGGUGAGCAUAUUGGCAGUUCAUAAGACAAAAUCAAAAUCCCAAGAUUCCCUAGAAGCAUUCCAUCAUGAUCACACAGAAAUUUCAAAUGCACCACGACCAAAUUCCAGGAUCAACGGAAAAAAAAAAUGAUCCCUGAAUCGAACUUUCACCGACAGCCCCUUUCAAACUUUACAUCCUGAAGUUAACUCUGCUCGCAAGCGAUUCCAAAGGAAGCGACUUUGUACCUGGGACGGUGUGAUACCCAUGAUGGUAAUAGUGGGGAGGUGGAGGAGGAGGGGGCCGAGGGAUCGGUGGCGCCCGGCGGAGGCGCCUGCUGGGGGUAGCCGAUCGCCGGCUGCUAGUGCGGCGGGUUCGGCGGCGGGUAGUUGGCGACGCCUUGGAAGGUGCCGUACUGGUGCUGGUAGUCGCCGCUCGGGACGCCCCUGUUUCGGUCUUCAUUUGACACCCCUGCCUAAGGCUGGCAUGGGUAUUGCCACGGAAAAAGAAAAUUAUAAAAAUUAUUAAAAACUGCAAAAAUUUAGAAUGACUCAUGUCCACAUCAACAAUUUUUUGCUAAAAUCGACCAAAAUGACUGUGUUAGCAAAUUAUCGAAAUAUUUAAAAUUAUAUUGACAAAAUUGACAUUUUUAUAACAUGUUUAGAAAUUCUUCUUUUUUUGUAAUUAUCCCAAGAAAUUCAUGUUGUGUUGUGCAAAUAUAUAUCAAAUAACAUGGUCGCAUGCAAGUUUUAUUUGAUGUUCGCUUUCGUAGAGUAAGAUAUCCCUUGUAUAUCGAAAUAAGCAUAUUUAAAGGACUUGAGAUGUAUUAACAUCUUUGGUUGCCAAAACUCAAAACGGGGAAGCAUUAAUUUUCAAUGAAAGGACAAUAAAUUCAAAUGUUCUGAAACUCCAUCAGAAACAGCAUUGAUCAAUGGACGAAAUCAAGCGAGUGUUAAUGAAUAGGAAUAUAUUAGUGCCACAAAGAGUGAUAACAUGAAGAUGUGCAUACCAUAGUUUGGGAGGAUUGAUGCAAGAAGGGCAAGAGACGGGGCUUGAUGUCGUCGAAGAUGGUGAUAGGCUUGGAGUAGGCUUCCUUGAGCAACCGCGAGUUCUCCUUGAGGUCACCGAAGAGGAAGGUGUAGGGUUUGCCGGAAAGGCCUUGCUGUCUCAGGAGCCUCUCCAGCCUCUUCGGCCUCAACCACACCGAAUUCACCACCCUCCAUGCCCAUGUGGUUAGGACGGCCAGAAUCGUUGCUACUGCAAUUGACUGGAUUGAUACCUCCAUGUUUUCUUCUUCUUUGUGUGCGUAUUUGUUUGUCUGUACGUGGGUCUGCGUGUCUCCGUGUGUGCGUGAGAGAGAGAGAGAGAGAGAGAGAGAGAGAGAGAGAGAGAGAGAGAGAGAGAGAGAGAGAGAGAGAGAGAGGGACCUCAAUGUGAUGAUAAUGUUGGGCAAGGGCGAUUUUGUGGUGUCGUGUUUAUAUAGCCAUGGCCAAGAAGGAAGCCCAAAAUAAAAUGAAGAAAAUAGUAUUCACCGCUCAAUGCAAGGAUGAGUAUAGCACACAUAAUGAAUCGAAUAUAAAUUAUUGAAAAUGAUACAUCUAUAUUGGGUGUUUCUGACCAACUCAAUAAUCUCCUCUUUACACAUUGAGCCUAACUCAUAACUCUCUCAUAUGAUUGUUGGGUCCAAAUUUAUUGGUAAUUGUUGGGAUUGACUGAUCCCCGAAAACCGGAUUCGACACUAAAUCGAACCCCUAAAUCAAUGCAGAAGACGAAGCCCGGGAAAAACACGUAUCACCGAUCGUAAAGCACACCAUGGAUUCGAGCGUACCUUGUUAGCCACAGAUUAGACACCAACGCUGAAGAAGAGGAAGAAAUUCUGAUCCGAUGAUGUCAAUUCGCCUUGAAGGGAAGACGGUGUCGCCGUUUGCGCUUCACUGUUUUCUUCUUUUGGGGAGAGAGAGAGAGCGGGAGAAGGGAAGACGUACGUACGUUCCAACUUUCCAAGGGAUGUCUUCUCUCUCUCUCUCCUCCCUUUUUAUACCUUCCCCCAUCCACGGGCCCUAUUCCCGUGGGCCGAGCUUUUUGGGCCCAGCAUGGGCGGAUGGGUCUUAAGCCCAUCUCAUAAAUCCAUCAUCUCCCACUCGCACAUGGUGGUACAAAACCAACAUGGGCGGACAGGCCCAACUCAUCCCCAUCAAAGAAAAAUCCAUCAUAGACUCUCACUUAACAUGGUGGGCCGAACAGAAUCCUAUUUUCCUCUCUUCAACAUUCAUACCGGUGAAUAAUCCGUGCGACCAGCAUACUUUGAGAGCUCGUUGUUAUACAUCUAUUAGGAAUAUAUAGCAGCUCAUAAUGGGCAUCACAUCCUGAGUAGAUUUAGUAUGCAGUACCCUAGAUCGAUCGAUCACAUUUAUAUCUCUCUUGAUCUCUUUAAACAAUGAUAUAUAUAUUGUAUUCACAAUUAUGAUUAUCCCAGAGACAUUCAUAAUUGGUUAACCGGUGAAUACAAAACUACAAUGUGAUUCUCCAAAAUCGAUCUUCCUCUUUCCUUCAAACUCUCAAUUUCAGUUCAGCUUGCUUUUCUAGAAAUGCCCCAUUAGAUCGAAUCAAACUCAUGACCAUUGGCAACAUCCUAAGAUAGCAAACACUAAAUAGAAAUCUUGAGAAUAAGUAAGAGUCAUGAGGGGACUAAAAAUUGAGGAACCCUUUUCCUUAAGAGUCUCACACGACAUAAAAAGUUGAGAUCAAACUUUUGCCACUCUUAUUGGUCGUCUCAUGCAUACGUAGUAUGAAAUACGUAUUACGGUAUUAACUCCUUUCCUAUGGAGCGUAUGUCUACACCUUUCAAUACCGUACAGAUGAUAGUUCAGACAUACCCAAUGUCUAACUUGAGUUCAUGUAUCUACUCAUUUACAAAAUUCAUCAGAACUCACAUCUGGCAUCAUAGACAGAUAAAGUAAAAUAUGUGGAGUAUUUUACUUUCAGACAUAGUAAGUAUCAUGUCCUCAUCUUAACACUUAGUUAAGGCGACAUACGUGUUUUAAGCUUGAGCUCUCGAUUAUCACCUAGAUAAUAAGCUUAAAAACAGUCUCAUCUCUAUUUAUCACACAGUAAAUAGAGGUGAUUACCCGCGUGAGUGGGCUAAUCUUAUAUCUGUCCGACAUACUUUCUCAACUAAAUGUAAUGCACUAAGCAUUAAGAUGCAUAAAGAUCAAACAAAGAUUCAUAGGCAUUAAUGAUGAAAACAUAAAUUCAUCAAAUUGUGAACACUUAGGGAAAUUACAAUAUUUAGUACAUCAGUCUCUACGCAAUCCUAGAGAUUUCACAUGGCCACAAAGCACAUCUCUAGGUAUUGGCUUUGUUAUAGGAUCUGCAACCAUUCUAUGCGUAGUAUGUACUCUAAGUUCACAUCCUUUCGUGCAACCAUAUCCUUGACAAAAUUAUACUUGGUAUCUAUAUGUUUGGUCUUGCCAUGAUAUUUGGAUCUUUAGUGUACACUUUUGCUGCUUGAUUAUCAUAGUUAACUAAUAACAAAUCUGCAGCACUUCCAAUAACACCUAAAUGAUUUAAUAAUCUCUUAAGCCAAACAUCUUCUUAUACUGCUGUUGAUAAUGCCACGAACUCAGUUUCCAUCGUGGACAAGGCUAUACACUUUUGUUUCUUACUGCUCCAACAUAUGGUGCCAUUAUUCAGUAAGAGAACAAACCCAGAGGUAGAUUUCCUUUCAUCUAAAUCUCCUUCUCAAUCAGCAUCAUAAUAGCUUUAGAGUCGUAGAUCCUUUCCUCAAUGACUCAGCAUAUAAUCAGCAGUUCCCUUUUAGAUACCUCAGUAUUCUCUUAACGGCUUUCCAUUGUGCUGGAUCUGGAUUGGAUUGGUAUCUACUCACCAUUCCAACUGCAAAACAUAUGUCGGGUCUUGUACACAUCAUAGCGUACAUCAAGCAUUCCAACAGCACUAGCAUAAGGAACAUGUUUCAUUUGUUCCUUCUCUUGUGGAGUCCUUGGACACAAUUUAUGGCUCAAUCCUUCACCCUUUGCAAUAGGAGUGUCUAUAGGUUUACAAUCUCGAAAUCUUAACUCCAAGAAUGUAUGCAACAUCACCCAUGUUUUUCAUCUCAUAGUUGGAAGACAACCAACUUUUGACAGUAUUAACAAACUCCAUAUUGCUUCCGGCAAUCAGUAUAUCAUCAACAUAUAAUGAUAUGAUCACAAAUUGAUCCUUGGAUCUUUUGAUAUAUACACAAUAAUCAUCAUCUAUCAUUGUAAAGUCAUAUGCCAUUAUGGCAUUAUAAAAACGUAUAUAUCAUUGUCUUGACGACUGCUAAAGGCCGUAUAUUGAUUCCAAAAGUCAACAUACCUUGUCUUCUUAGCCUUACACUAUGAAACCAGCAAGUUGUUCCAUAUAAAUUUCUUCCUCUAAUUCUUCAUUGAGGAAAGCAGUCAUUACAUCCAUUUGAUGUAACUCAAGAUCCAGAGUAACCACUAUUGCCAGAAUGAUGCAAAUCGAGGUAAAUCUCACCACAGGAGAAAAUGUAUCCUCAUAAUCAAUUCCUUCCUGUUGAUCAUACCCCUUCGCCACAAGGCGAGCCUUAUGCCUUUCUAUCGAGCCAUAAGCCUUUUGCUUUAUUUUGAGAACCCAUUUGUUCCCAAUGGCUUUGUGUCCUUUUUGAAAAUCAACCAGUUCCCAGACUUGGUUUGAUUUCAUUGACUCCAUUUCCUCUCUCAUUGCAUGAAUCCAUUUUUCCUUACUAGGGCAACUCAGAGCCUCAUUAAUAUUUCUUGGCUCAUCCUCAUCUUGUGGAGCAAUCAUAAAAGUUUCCCCUUCAAUGUCAAAACGUCGACGGGGAAUACUUUGGCGAAUUGUUCACCAUAUGGGAAAUUGUACACUUAGCACAUCAUUCCCCAUAAGGCUCCCACUCGGAUUAGGUAAUGAUGAUGUCGUCUCAUCAAGUGGUUGCAAUUGAGAAUGAGUUGAAUUCAAUUCAUCACUUCUCAUAUUACUCCCACUUGGACGAACUCCAUAAUAUCAUUAUCUUAAUCCAAAAUUUCAAAUAGGAAGUAAUCUUCCCCUAUUUCGCCCCUCUUAGGAAAUUCAUUCACUAAGAAUGUGACAUCCCGUGAUUCAAAUUCAGUUAUACUCUCACUUUCCUGCUCACCUAUGAACACAUACCCUUUCGAGUAUUCGGAGUAUCUCAUUAAAAUACUCUUCUUUCCUUUGGGACCCAAUUUCCCAAACUUGUGAGAGGACUCAUGUGUACAGGCAGAACAACCCCAUGGCUUAAGAAAAACUUAAGUCCGGUUUUCUACCUGUCCAUAACUCAUAUGGAGUGGAAGUAACUGAUUUGGAAGGCACCCGGUUAAGUACAUAGGCAGCAGUUAACAACGCAUCACUCCAAAAAGUAAUAGGUAAAUUAGCUUGCGCCAUCAUGGACCUAACCAUUUCCAGUAGGGUUCUGUUUCUUCUCUCCGCAACACCAUUUUGUUGAGGAGUAUACAGAAUAGACAACUGUCUUUCUAUUCCUUUUUCAUCACAUAAUUUCUAACCAUUUCCAGUAGGGUUCUGUUUCUUCUCUCCGCAACACCAUUUUGUUGAGGAGUAUACAGAAUAGACAACUGUCUUUCUAUUCCUUUUUCAUCACAUAAUUUUCUGAACUCAUCAGAUGAAUAUUCUCGACCUCGAUCGGAUCUCAAUGCUUUUAUUUUCUUGUCUAAUUGAUUCUCUACCAGGGUCGUAAACCUUUUGAAACAACUUAUUGCUUCAGAUUUAUGAGAAACCAAAUAGACACAUCCGAAUCGAGUAUAAUCAUAUAUUAAAAGUGAUGAAAUAAACAGCCCCUUGCCUUCCUCUCACAUUCAUUGAACCACAAACGUCAUAACGGAUUAAAUGCAGAGGAAAUUAAGCUCUUUUACCUUUUCUAAAUGGUUUCCUUGUCGUUUUCCCUUCUAGGCAAUGCUCACAUAUGGACAAAUCAACUUUUUCAAUAUCGCCCAACAAGCCCUAUUUGGUUAGCCUUUUCAUAUGUAGCUGGCCCAUAUAACCAAGUCUAGCAUGCCACAUAUUCACAUCUUUAUCAUAUGAAGUAGAAGACGUGAAACAAAAAUUCACAUCAUUAUCAUGUGAAGUAGAGAAGACGUGAAACAAGGGAAUAACAAUUAUUGACAUUGCCACAGUCAACAUCUAAUACAAUAAAACCAUCCAAAAAGUGACCACAACUAUAGUAGUUCGUAUCCAAAUACAAAUCUACACCUCUAUUAUGGAAGUUCAUAUAAAAACCAAGCUUGACCAACAUCAAAACAGACACUAAAUUUCGACGAAUUUCCAGAGCAUAUAGAUCUUCAUGUAGGAACAAGUUGCGUCCACCACGCAUGUUCAAUUGGCCGGUGCCAAUCCAUUUAACUUCAUCUCUGGAGUUAUUUUCUACAUAGAUGCACUUAGUUCCAGUUGGUACUCGUCAAAAUUCCACGAAGAAUUCUCUAUCCUUCGUUAUAUGGUCUGUUACAUCUGAAUCUAUAGUCCACAAAGGAUUGGAUUCAGCCAAUAAAGCAGAACUUGACACAUAAGCAAAGUUCUCAAAUGUACUAGAGGUGUAUACUUUCUUUGGCUCACGACAGUCGCAAGCAUAGUGACCUCUCUUGUCACAAUUGUAACACCUCACCCUUGACAUUUUCUUUACUUGAGGACGUUUUCCUCUCUUGUGUUGGUUAACCCUUGAUUUCUUGCAAUAAGGACUUGAUCCUUUGCAUGCCCAUAUAUUGAACGAAUCAAUACGCUUGCGCUUAGAGCUCAAAGCCCUUUCUGAGCUAGAACCAACAUUGCCAAUAUUUAUUUUCGGCUCAAAUGCCGUUAGGCGGUCCUCUACUAGCUCAAGGUGGCGCACGGCACCCUCAAGAUCUUCCAUAAUUUGGUCAAGAGCUUCUAGUGCUUCUUGCUUUUCCAGCACAUAUUGAAUCUUCAUAUUCAAUAUUUCACAAUUGUUGCCGUUCAUAUCAGCAAUCACAUUCUUAGUUGCUGAAACCAUCAGUCUGAACACAUCAGACAUACAUGCACGAAUAAUUAAUGCCUAUCAUUUAUGCAUCCCUAUUUGCACAGACCCAUCAUAUUAAUGAAUAAUUUCAAGUAAGGCUUCAGAAUCAAAAUGUCACUGUGUUUCCAAUCAUCCUCCAAAGUCCUAACUCAAAAUUAUUAUUAAUAUAAUUGUCUUAUGCAAAUACAUUCUAUGAAGUUACAAAAACUUCUAUUACUACCCACAGCUAACUACUCACAGCAAUCAGCAGUAACAUAAAGCAAAUAGAUAACUAUAUUCAACAGAAUAAUCAUACUUGCAACAUAAUACAACUAACAUAUUACACUAAGCAAUAUACACAAAGAAAAAUAUCAACAUGAAAAGAUAUAUUUACAUCCAUAAAACAUCUCAUAAUUAAUCUAAGAAAUAAUCAGGGAAUGUCCCUUCUAAUCUAUCAGUCAAAACAUCUGAGAAAACUCAAGGCACAUUUGCCAACCAGGGAAAAACUUUUGGAGAGCUUUCAUGUCGCCACUAAGGCGCAUUUUACUCUGCGCCCUGUGGCGCUUAAACUAAGGGUUGAAGUUUUAGUUUUAACUCAAUCCUAUAGUUUUCUCUUACAAAAGCUUUCACUAGCCUGCUAUAAUCCGGGACCACGUUGACCUCCCAUAACCGAUCCAACACUGCUUGCCAUUCAGGUGGAAGAGUGUUCAUCAAAGCCAGCACCUUCUAAAUGAUUUCCUGUAUCAUCUCAUUGAUCCUGACCACAUGUGAUACUAAAUCACCGUCAUGCCACCGAAAAUUAGCUAAAUCUGACAUUAGCCUUUUCAGUCUUGCAUUUCCCCCGUCUGUUCUCGGGAUUGCAGGUAUCCGUGCAUGACGCAUCAUAGUUCCUGCAACAAAUGCAGAACUAAAAAUUGAUCACUUAUAAUCCAUAAUUUUAAAUAAGGAAAAUAAAUAAUUUUCCAUAAUUCAUGCAACAAAUGCAUAAUAAAAAAAAAAUGGAUUACAUAUACCACAUAGGCAUACAUGAAAAAAGAAACAAAUUCCUUUUUUUUUUUUUUUUUUCGGGUCAACGGUCAACGGUCAGUCAACGGUCGGUCAAUGGGUCAACGUUCGCCGGUCGUCAGACGUCGGACCGGUCGGACCGGUCGCGUCGGUCGGGCCGCCGGGCCGGUUCGCGCGGACCGCCCACGCGUGCGCGUGCUGACGUCACGCAAACGUCAUCCGGCACGUGUCGCGCGCGUGCCGGGGUCCGCGGUCGCCGGUCGGGUCAUCGGCCGGUGACUAGCCGGCCAACCGGCGUCACCGCUGACGUCAUCGAUGACGUCACGCCAGCGGUUAUUGACCGUUGGGUGACGUCAUGCUGACGUCAGCUCGCGUCGGUCCGCGGACCGGCGCGUGCCGGUUCGCCGGCCGGUGGCGAGCACGCGCGCCAGUUCGCCACCGGCGCGUGUUCCACACGCGCCUGGCGAGCCAGCGCCUCCGGGCGCGUCGCGCCCAGGCGCAGCGCCUUCCGGCGGCGCGUGUAGGCGCGUGCGGAGUCGCCCGGCGGCGCUCGACAUACCGCCAGACUCGUCUCGACGCCCCCUUUCUCCCUGUGCCAUCAGAUUUUGAUUUUGACAUACGAAAACAUGUAAAAAUGGCCGAAGAGCGCUCGGGUGUCGGGAUUUGUCGCCCGAUCCGUACGGCCGAAAACAAUUUUGCGAAAAAUCAAUCAAAAAACAUCAAAUUGAUCGGGAAAAACGUGAACUAGGGCUCGGAUACCAGUGUUGGGAUUGACUGAUCCCCGAAAACCGGAUUCGACACUAAAUCGAACCCCUAAAUCAAUGCGGAAGACGAAGCCCGGGAAAAACACGUAUCACCGAUCGUAAAGCACACCACGGAUUCGAGCGUACCUUGUUAGCCACAGAUUAGACACCAACGUUGAAGAAGAGGAAGAAAUUCUGAUCCGAUGAUGUCAAUUCGCCUUGAAGGGAAGACGGUGUCGCCGUUUGCGCUUCACUGUUUUCUUCUUUUUGGGAGAGAGAGAGAGCGGGAGAAGGGAAGACGCACGUACGUUCCAACUUUCCAAGGGAUGUCUUCUCUCUCUCUCUCCUCCCUUUUAUACCUUCCCCCAUCCACGGGCCCUAUUCCCGUGGGCCGGGCUUUUUGGGCCCAGCAUGGGCGGAUGGGCCUUAAGCCCAUCUCAUAAAUCCAUCAGCAAUCUAUGCUCUAAUACUAGUGUUGGGUAAUUUUAGACCUCUCUCAACCAGAAAGUUAGCUUAAAAUGUAAGACUUUCCCUCACACUUAUAAACCGAGCACCACUCAGGUAUAACCUCAAUAGUCUCAUGUAGAUCCCAUAAGAUCUAGCAGUAGAAUAUUCAAUUUAGGACAAGUACAAUGAAUAAUUUCUCAAAAGGACGGAGUCCCUCCUUUGCCGGCAAGACAUGUUAUGGAGGAAGGAAAAACUUGGGAUUCAUAUUAUGUCCAACGAGAGGGUGUAAAAAGCCUUUGGCAAGUGUUGUAUCAAAUUCGAAAUAAUUGUACCUAAUAAAUAAUUUUGCAACAGUGUUUGAUGGUAAAAUCCUUGGCCCAAAAGCAUUUGAAAAAAUCUACAAGAAACUUGACUCCCAGUGGUCAUUAUUAAUUACUUUUCUUCUCUCUUUUUCCCCCUUUUGACGAGGGCUCGGAUGCUCACAUGCCACAUAAUUGAAGGUCAAACAAGAAAUCGAGAACCUAGUCUCCAAGCAAAGUAGUGUUUUCUAUCCAAAGCAAGCACGUAUAUUUUCCCUUUUUGGGGGGAUUUAGAUUUAAUUUUCGUCACCAACCUUACCAAAAUUAUGAGUACGUUAUUGGCUGAAGCAAUUAUCUAUUUUGUGACUUGUAAUUAAAUUUUGUGUGUUGAAACUUGAAAUUUGAGGUUACACUUACCAUUGGUAUAAUAAAUGACAAUCUCGCUAUUACCAAAACCAGCCAUCUUUUUUUCUUGUUAAUGUCCAAUAUUAUAGUGCUUAAAUGGAUCCACCAGCUUAAAUAAUCACUUAUUUUCCAUGUAAUUUCAUAGAUCUAUUUACUAUAUGAGUUUUGAUAUCUCUAGCAUACUUGCUACCUAAAAUGGUCCAAUCAUGACCAUUUCAAAUUAUGGUUUGUUAUGUUAGUUUGCUCCUUUUUCACGUGAAAAGAGGCCUAAUACAAAUGCCUCAAUAAUUCUACAUAAGCGUCAUUCGAUAUAAGAUCUAAGACUUUAAGAUAUUGAAAAAUGAAAACUUCAAUAAUUUUGUGCAUCAUUCCAUAAGAUUGGAGAUAACUUUUCAUAUUGUUCAUAUAGAGCCCCCAUACAAGUUGGGAAGUACUACUGUUAUGGCUACUUAUUCUCCGGAUAUUAUUAUGGCACCUAUUACAGAAUUCUAGAUUGAAGACUGUGAAGAGCUCAUUGCUCAACACCACUUGUGAUAUAUUGAGUUAAGAUGGGUGAGUGCUUUUACCGCAAUUCCCCAGUGGGACACACAAAUUACUAAUGAGCAUAUGUUGAAACUCAUGAUCUUGUGUUUUAGAAACAGCAACUCAUGCCAUUCAGCCACCAACAUCGAUAGGGAAGACUUUAUCAGGAUGUGAUAUAUAUGCUUUUUAGAAUUGGAAAAAGGUGAAUGGCCAAUUAUUUUUCCUUGAAAUGCAUGAAUAUAUUGGAGUUUGUUCAUUGUGAAUUCUAAAAAGUUAAAACUAACUUUUUCUUACUUUUUCAUCAAAAUUUAAAAUUAUAAUAUGUAUUUUAAAUAAUUGUGAAAGAAUUGACAUAUCAAUGUAACGUAACUUUUGAAGUUUUCAAGAAUUCUACAUUAUAUAAAGGAAAAAAGGUUAAAUAAUAUGAUUUGAAAAAAGCUUUAAAAAAAAACAUUCCAGAUUAUUCGACUUCAUUUAAUUUGAAUGCUUGUAAAUCCUAAAUUUUGCUUUAUAUAAAUAUUUUUUUAAUUCUUGUUUUAAAGCAUUUUCAUGAGUGUUAACAAAAGCUGUUUGGAGAUGGCCCACCGAACGGAUGUAAAACAGGAAAUGCAGUGAUAUUGAGCUCUGACUUAUUAAAUUUUGUCUCGCGGAUCGAGUCGAGAUCUCGAACACUGACAAAUGUCCCCUGCAAAACGUCAUCACACGCGUUUUAAGAUGGCUCACAAAGAAGUAAAGAUCGCGCAACAUCGGAAUAUGCAGGAGCGCACGUCUGCAUUUGGGCAAAGGUGUGGUUAAUGACGCUUUGUUAAAAGCGACCAUUAUAUAAUGUUUGACUUUCAGAACAAUGCCAUUUCGAUUAGCAUUUGAUGCCAUUGCUUGGUAAGCUAGGAAUUGUUCCUUGGUGGCCAAACAGAUUCGGCUCAUUCAUGUUACAUCCACGGGACAAUGACUUCAUGAUUAAGUUUUAUGUAGCAAUAACAUCCAUAAGUGCAAAUUUCUCCCCUUUUUUUUUUUUUUUUUCUUUCAAGAAAACAUCCAUGUCCACAUCCUACUCCAUAACUAACAGCAUGGAACGAGCGAGAAAUGAAAUAAAGGAAGGAAUGGAAGAAAAUGAAAUGAAAAACUGAAUGAAAUACGCAUUGUAAUUCUUGAAUGUGUAUGGGGAAAAUAGGUUUGGAAAGAAUAUGAUGAUUCCUUUUAUAGUGCUUGCAUAUUUUUGGAUUGAAAAAUGUUAAAAUAUCUUUGAAACGGAUAAUGUGUGACAAUAAAAAUAAAGGGUACACUCAAAAUCAUUAUAUGCAUAAAUAUUUCUUAAUAUUUUGCCAAGGAAUGGCUUGGCCAUAUUGGCCACACCAUAAGUCGAGCCAAGGACUGGCUCUUGUCCCUAUUUGAUGGAGGAAUGAGCAUUCCCCAUCUUUUGCAAGAACAAACAGAUGAAAUGAAAUCGCAUCUUGAAGUAACGACUCCAUUUCAAAUCGAUUCCUUUCUAUCGAAUAAGGCCUCAUUGUUACAAUUUGAUCAAGGAUGAUUUGAUCGAGACUAAAUGUUAUUACCAUUUUAUGUUGGUGAAAUGCAUAAUUGAGUUGAGAGUCCGACACUUUCAUUCUUGCAAAAAUUCUAUCGUGACCUGACCCUGUGCGUGUCGGAAUCGCGUGUCGGAAUUCUAGACUCGCAUGUCAGAGAGAGUUGACCACGUGUCGGAUUUUUCGACACUUGUUGACCGCGUGUCGGGACGUGUCGAAGUAUCAAACACGACACGAAGGCUUCCGGAGAGUGUCCGUGCUACAUAGUUGAUAGUACUUUCAUCUAAAAGGAUGGUAUCAAUUAAUCCUUUACGGCAAUUUUCAUGUCGAGUAUACCAAACCACGGUGAGUCUUGUCGAGACUCAUAUCCCUCACGAAUGAUUGAUUUAUAUUUUAUGAGUAGUUUAAAACAAUCUAUAUGAAAGUUAUGAGUCAACACUAGUCUUGUUUUUGGGGAUCGGCCAGGAAAUCCAAUCGAAAGUCGGGAGUGGUCCUCGAUAUCUAUGCAACUAAAAAUUCUAAGGUUUAGGGAUUUAAGUUAUGCUAACAUUUCUAUUAGUACCCUUUUGGUACUAAUAGUUUGUUGUGUUUCUAAAUAUGUUCAUGCUUGUCUUUUUACAUUUUUCAUGCCAAUAAAACCAAUUAGAUGAUCAUAUGUGGAUUUUCAAUCUCAUGCUAUUCUAUUUCUAUCAAAAGAGAAAAAGAAAGAAACCAAUCAAUUGAAAUUUAAGGACGGUGUAGUAAGUAAAUGCCCAAAAAACAGUUUAAGGAAAUCAAUUAAUCUAGCAUGCAAUCAUAAACGGAAGUUAAAUCGAAAGAAAGAAAUCCGUAACUCGUCGGAUAUCUACACAACGCUAGGUAACCCAAAACAUAUAUCAGGAAAUAAAUGGUACAAAACAGGGUCGAACUGGACAUUGACCACUCAUCGUCUUCAUGUCCUGGGGAUCAUCACCUCCAUGGACCUAUUCUAAACCUAAUCUAAUACUAAGACUAGGUACUUACAAAGUAAAAGAAACAAUCAUGAUUACAAAUAUAUAAAAACGAUCACAAUCACAAAACAAGAAAGAACAAUCAAGAAACUAGGACAAAAUGUAUAAUUGAUCAAAUUUGUCCUCGGAAUCAGCCUUUGUGAUUCAUGCAACGACCACCUAAGACAACUAUCCACUCCAAUUUUAAAGUGACUUAUAACAAUUGGCCACCGUUUGUGUUCUCGCGUGACAACCUAUGCUAAAAAGUCCUUAAACAGGUUCUAAGUAUGACUUAGGACUUCUCGCGAGAUCAUGCAUUACGCCUACACGUUUAUCUAAAAACCACAUGCAUAGUUGAAAGUAAACAUACAAGCAGGCCAUCGGACGUUGGUUCUUAAUCGAUUAAGCAAGCUUAGUGAGCCAACACUGGAUCACUUAUUCGGUCAUCAAGUGCCAAACAAAAUCACAUGCAUUUCUAAAAAAUGAAGAGAUGUUAUGCAUGUAUGACUCAUGUAAUGCAUCAAAAUUUUUAAAUGCAUUUGAAACAUUGAUGAGAAGAUGAGGUAUUUUUGACAUACGUACAUCUUGGUUAUGGGACGCAUUUAAUUGCCAUGGUUAAUUCGAGGCGCAUAUCAUGCACUACUAAUGGAUGUUGCAAGCAUUUCAAAUACAGUAAAAACCUCGACGAGUUCAAUGUCAAAUCAAAAGUUAAUAGAUGCUAAAAUGGUUAAUGUUGGAGGCAUCAUGUGUACCAAAAUCACUUUGUGAUGCAAAAACAAUUUUUGCAAUAAAACCAAAAGGAUUUGACAAAGGGUCCUAGAUGGCCUUUUUAUUUUUUAAGGAUUUUUGACAACAAAGAUUGCGAAAUUUGGAAUAAAUUUCAUGAAUACAACUAAUCCCAAUUCAGCAUUCAAGAUAUCCCAAACAAUUCUAAAAGAGAAUCGCAGCAAGAAUCAUAUCAAAGAGUACCAAACAGGACAAUCAAAAUCAGAACAAUUGGAAUAGGACCCAUGGGUAAUUGGCCCUAGGAAAGUUACAAAACAUGAAGCACACAAUAAGAAAAAAAAAUUGUGAAGGAAGUUUCUUAAGAUGAGCUACAUAUGAAUUUAUAAAAAUUCAAGAACACGUAGCAUCACAUCGGAAACAGAGCAAGGCAGCUAGACAUCAUGGCAAAUCAACAGUAAUUUUUCCUGGUAGAUGACGUCUAAAAAUUCUGAAAUUUCACCACGAUAUAGACAUGAGAAAGAAAAACAAGUUUUAUUAAGGACCCGAUCUCAAAAUUCUUACUGAAAAAUCCAUAAAAAAAAAAGAAAAAGUUCUGACUUAACAAAAGCAGAAUGAGCAUUCCGAAUUUUACUCAUAGCAGAUUUCAUGGCAAACUUUGCAAAAAUGGAAAAAAAAUCAAAUGAAAUCCAAAUGAUGCAAGAUUAGUGUCAUUAGAAAUAUUAGGAUGUUUUCAAAGACUUUCUAAGAGAUGUCGAGUUCAAUUCAGGUCGAAUUCAUGGUCAAACAGUGACAAUUGCAAAAGUGUGCAAAUCAGUCAUAAGAAUGGCAGAACACGAUGCAUGAUAAUUGGCUUGUUAAGCUACUUAAACAAUACAUGAAGAUUGUAAAAUUCGAACAUAAUGUAGGGCUAAAUGUGAUUAUCAAGUUUGGUUAAUAUAUUUAGCCCUAAAUCGAUGUACAAAAAGUCACACAAGUUCAUUAACAUUGGCAAGCAACUUACCAUUAAAGAACACUCAUGACAAAAUGCACAUAAUUUCGGUUGUGACAUGUCAACUUGGUGCAUCGUUUUCACAUAGGAAAUGAUCUUCAAGUGAGGCAUGCCAUACAUCAUUAUGAAGCUUGUGGUAUGCUCUAAGUAUGUCUAGGAGACAUCAUACACUAGUUUCACUCUUAAGGUGCUCAAACGAAAUCAUUUUAAAAGAUACAUCAUCAGUCAAAUGCAGCAAGGGUUAUAUAGAAUAUAAACCGUUUCCAAUAAUCUAAUGACAUUUGAAAAUUCUUUGAAAAUUCCUACGUAUAAAAUACAAUGUCGCGAUUAUUUUACGUGAUGACUCCAAAGCGAGAUUUUAGGGUUCUAAGACCAAGUUCCGCAUUGAGUUUUGGUUUAAAUAAUUGUUUCAGAUGAGCAAUUUGUUGACGCGUAAAAGUUAUUAUGUUGGUGUUUAAGUUUAGUUUAGCCGAGUGUAGUUGAGAUAACAUUUUACUUGGUUUUGAUACUAUUUCUCACUCAUACGAUAAUAAUGUGAGUUCGUUGGAUCAAUUGAGCAUUGUUAUUUGGUUUAAGGCAUAUCUAGGCAAAUGGCGCUAUAUGUUCUAUGAAUUUGUGAACUUAUAUAUUGAAAAUGGUAGAGAUUUGAGAUAUUAUAAGUAACGAAGGAGUACGUUUAUUGCAUAAAAAUCUGAAUCAACCAAUUAUUACAUUUUCAUGUUGGUGAAUGAUUUGAGAAAGAUAUUUUGUCGUAAAUAUGAUUUGUGAAAGAAAUUUUGAAAUUGUUCGAAAACGGUUUUAAGAAAAAUUUUGUGAAUAUAUAUAUAAUAUAAAUAUCUAUUUAAUGGGUUACGAAUUAGCUUAUGCAAUGAGUCUAUAAUGAUUUGAAAAACCUUUUAGUAAAAGGCAUUUUGAAAUGUUGAGAGUUUACGAAAUGGAUUUUGCAAUGUUAUGAAAAAUGUCUUGUGAAGUAUAUUUUAUUUGAUGGAUUGAAUUACAAAAUGUUAUGUGAUUGGUUUAUAAAAUAAAUUGGGGAUCAUGACAUUGAUUAUAAAUUGAAUUUCUAGAUAUUGAAGGUUGUGAGUUUGGUGCUAAAUAUUGUUGUGAACCUAUGGAGGGGCUGUAGAUAUGCAUAUCGAGUUUAAGAUAUCCUUUUGGAUCGAGCCAAUGGCUUUGUAAGUAGAGACCUUGCUAAAAGGGUAAUCUUGAUCACAUUAUCACAAGGCAUUCUGUCAUGAUAUAAUUUGAUAUUAAGUGAAAGAUUGGUCAAUGGAUAGACCAUCGACAUGAAUUUUAAAAUGAGAUGAAUAAAUCAAUGGACCAUUGACGUAGUUUUUUUUUUAAUAGAGAUUAAUCAAUUGACUUGAUCAUUGAUAUUUGAAUCAUGAUAGUAGAUUUAAAUGUGUAUUUCCGACAUGCACAGGGAGGGGGUGCAUCUCUUGUCCUAUAUUGCCUAGGGGGAGUCUUAGACUAGUUUAUAAGGUUUUGGGUUCUCUAUCUAUACAUACACAUUUUCUGGGCAAAGCCCAAAGAAACAAAACUGUGAGGGUCCAGUGGGCUCAAAGUGGAUAACAUGUGUAGAUUGACAAACCCAGGGUAUUACAAACUCAAACAGGACAGAACAACAUAGUGACAUUUUUUUUUUUAUAUAUAGAUUUAGCCUAAUCAGAUUUGCUCCAAAAAUUCUAGAAAAAAAAAAGUGUUAUACCAACACAAUUUUGUGCUGUUUCCAUGGAGAAAAUUAGGAAAAAAAAUAUGUUCAAAAACCAAAAUACCAUAAUAUCAUGAAAAAUCCAGCAUAAUCAUCCAACUUCCAAGAUGCAAUUAGGUAUCAAACGAACUCCAUUUGAGGCCCAUAAUACAUCAAAUUGCAGCUUAUCAAAUGUAGAACAUAUGUCUAGAACACCUCGAGACAAAUAAUGAGGUUUGGGACCUUAGGUUAGCCCUAAUAUAGAGUCACUUUCAAGCAUGCGAUUUUUGCAAAACUAGGUAGAUCAUGUAAAAAUCAUAUUCAAUCUCAGCUUCAAUCAACACAACAUCAUCAAAUAUCAUCACAUAACAUCCAAAUCACAAAUUUAAACAUGAGAUAUAGUUCUAGGGUUUGAGUCCUAGGCCCAAUCAACCGGCUCAAUCUCAUUUCAUCAAAUUCAAGUUUUGAUUGUUUACGUUUGUGUGAUUUCAAUGAAACGAGCUCGAUCGAUUGACAACCUAAACUAUGGAAUGGAUCACGAACAUCAAGGAUCAUUGAAGGGAUGCCAUGGUUGGUUGGGUGGACCGGAUUAGCAUCGACCAAGCCCUCAAUCAGCGGCUGGACAGAACUGAUUUGUUUUGAAUCAAUUCAAGCCACCGACAAGAGAUUGGCCAAUUGGAGGACCUCCGGUGGUAGCUAAGUGGUUUUUUGGUCACCUGGUUCUUCAAGAUAGUUUAAAGAAGAUGAUUAGAGGUGAUGCAACGUUGAGGGAUGCCAGUUGGUCAUCGCGACCAACCACUGAAUUGACAACUGGAAUCACCAGCACUCGUGCUGGUGAUUGGUCCGAUCAAUUGAUCGGGCUAAUUGAGGAGCUCCGGCAAUCAUUAGGGCUCCAAGCAGCGACAAUGGGAGAAGAAAGGAGCUGAUGGAUCUUGGUACUCAGCUUGUAGGGGCUCCAUGCGAGCGGUGGUCAACGCAGCAAUCUGCGAGCGUGAGAGAGAGAGAAAAGAAAGAGAAGUGAUGGGAAAGAGAGAGAGGAGAGAGUUUUUGAGAGAGAAAUUCCUGUUCAUAUCUAAAAAUACAUAUUAUCAAAACUCCCCCAAAGUUUUAGAGGGAAAAAUCUUAUAUAGUCCCCCUUUAAGAUAAAAUAUUGGCUGUCGGUUCGACCUGACAGUCGAAACUUGAUCAAAUGGACUAAUAAAGUUUAUUAUGGAUUAAGUCAAAAUAUAUCACAUGAUCAUCCGGAUGGUGUUGAUGCACCAAAAUCAAAAGUUUAAAUAGAAUUUGCAAUUACGGCCUAAUUAAAGAUAAUUUUAUAAUUUCACAAAAUCCAUGGAUAUUUUCGCAAAAUAUGGAAAGUUGAAAAGCAUAAGAAUAAAAUACACACAGUGAUAAACUCGCUAGUGGUCGUUAGCCACCAAGAGCUAAUCGGUGGAGGGCUAAAUCGGCCUCUUUUGCCAGUGGCUAGCCAAAUUGGUCAGAUCGAUUAGAGGUGUACAAUGGGAACUACCCAAACUGAGAACCUCCCUGACCGAAUCCCUUAGUUUUGGGCGAUUCCUAGAGAGGGUGGUUCGGUUCCCAAUUGCCAUUCUUGGAACUGGUGGUCGGUUGGUUUAAAUCUCAGUUCUAAUGUGAGAACUGGAUUGAUUGGACUGACUAGACUAGACCAGUUGAUUAUAUAUAUUAAAUACAUAUUUUUAAAUUUCUUAAUAAACAAACCCUAACACCUCCCAAUUUCCCCCAUUUAUAAUAUAUGAAUCAAAUUGGAUCUACUUGUUUGGUUAAAGAUCGAGCAGAUGGUGGUUGAAUUGACGUGAUUCAUGCUUUUGAUGCUAAAGAACAAAGAAUCUGAUCUUUGGUGUUGAGCCUUGAGUCUUGAGUCUUGAGAGGGGUCACCAUAGAACUUUGUUAUGAUGCUUUGGUUAUAAGAUUAUUGGAAUCUAGGUUUAUGGAUGGAUUUAGUCAGUGAAGCCCCUUAAGCUCAACCAAUACCAACCGAACCUAUCCUCUUAAUAAGUGAAAAGAGGCAAGCCAAAACCUACUCCCAACAAGUUGUAUCCCAAGUCAAGCCCUAGAAGAAAGGAAAUGAGAAAUCGUCAAUGCGAGAACUUCAGGUAAAAAGGAGAAUUAGUCUUUCAAGAUACUGACCCAGCAUUCAUUGCAAGACUUGUCAGCUUAAUCUCAAGUCAAAGCCUUAUCCCUCUCCUGCUAAAGAACCACUCUUUCAUGGAGUAUUGAGAAAAUAGAAAGGCCAUUUACCUUUGCUGAUGAACUCUCUUUUGUUAGUAACAGAGAGUAUAGAGAAAAGCUUGUUGUGUGGAUGAGGAAACUCUCGAGGGACAAGCAGCAAGUUGCAUAUAUUUAUGCACCGUGCCACAAGCAGCAAGCUGUAACAUUGCUUAAUUUAUUUUUGGUAUAAAAUAACAAACUUACCAAUUCCACCAAACCGAAUCAGACCAAACCAGAUUGGUCGGUCAAUCCAACUCCCAAUUCCAAGACUAGUCGGUUCAAUUAUGGGUCCCAAAAUCUUGCAAUUGGUCCUCCCAAUUCGAUCCACAAUUCCACCUCAAAACAAGAUCAUAUCAGGAACCAAUCAGUCUUGGGAACGUUGCAAGCCGGUUCGAUUGAUUCGGCGACGGCUCAGGCAUCUUGGCCCUUGAAGUCCUAAAUUUUAUGUAAUUUAGACCAUCAAGGAUCAAAUUGGAAAGAAAACUUGUUCAAUCAGUGGAACAAUGGUCUAAUUCUAAAGAAAGCAAGCUAAUUAAACCAUAUAAAUGCGAUUCAAAAAUUUAAUAUUGACCUAAUUACUUAAUUAACACAAAAAAUAAUGGACCUGCACCAUGGGUACAUGCAAUUGGUCUUUUUAGGCCAAAUUGAGCAAUUUCACAUAAUUUCUUGAUCAAAAUUGUUGGAAUAUAAUAUGCGGAAACGAUAGGAUCCUGCAAUUUACGUCAACGCGAAAUCAUCAAAGAAAUAAAAGAUAAAUAAUAAGGACACCCGAAAUUUACAUGGUCCAUGUAUGUAUGGCUUCGCGUUCUUGUUUAAGGCUUCACGUGGCUUCUACGUGCUCCUACGUGCGGUUCCUUUUUUCACUUGUAGGACUACAUCGGCUCUCUCUAGAUGAACGUGCUGCUCCUUCAAUUUUAGGGCUUUUCGUCACUUUUUCCAUGGGCAAAGUAACGCUCUUUUAUAUGUGUGUGCCCAAGGUCAACAAUUUGACCUAGGCCCACCACUUCUAAUUCUUCAAUUCGUAACAAGGCUUAUGCAGAAGACAGAAGAUUCUUAUUUUAUCUUUUAUUUCCUCUUUUGUCUUCUUUUGCAGGUCCAAAAGAAAAAAUCCAAGAAGGAAAUUGUUUUCUCUUUCUUCAUCUGAUUUCUAAUCUGCUUGGGAAAAUCUUCCUCAAUAAAAUUUAGUUUAACAAAUCGUUAUCUGAAUUCAAACUUGAGAUAUUAAUUUAACAAUUCUCCACAUUGGCUUGAUAUUUGAAGCCAAGUUAUAGUGUCCAUCAUCUAUGCUACUCUCCCAAUGCCUUGACGGGCACUCACUCUCCACAAAUGCUAAUAGAACUCAAGCAGAGUUUGAGUUUUACCAAAGGAAUAGACUUAGCCAUCAUGUCUGCCGGGUUAUCUGUUGUAGCAAUCUUUUUGACAAUAACAAUACCCUUAACUAAGACAUCUCAGAUGAAGUGAUACCUGAUGUUGAUAUGCUUCAUUCGCUCAUGAUAAACUGGAUUAUAUGCAAAAUAUAUCGCACAUUGAUUAUCAUGGUGUAUAUCCACACUUUUAUGUUCUAACCCAAAGUGCGAGAGCAAACUUUGUAACCAUAUCGUCUCCUUCACUUCAAAGGUUAGUGCCAUGUACUCUACUUUAGUCGAAGACAAGGUAAUGUGAUCUUGUAAUGAUGAUUUCCAACUAAUUGCACCACCCGUUAGAGUAAACACGUACCAUGCUAAAGAUUUGCAAUCAUCCAAGUCACCGGCGUGAUCCAAAUCACAAAACCAGUGGUCUCAUUGCCAAUACUGUCCCUCCGGUAUACUAUACCCAUGUCUAUUGUCCCCUUUAAAUAUCUUAGGAUCCACUUCACAACUUCCCAAUGAGUUUUACUAGGACACUUCAUAUAGUGACUAACCACGCCAACAACUUAUGAAAUAUCAAGCUAGUGCCCACCAUAGCAUACAUAAUACUACCCACGGCACUAAAAUAAGGAACACGGGACAUAUGCUCCUCCUCCUUCUCAGUUUUCAGUAAUAAUUUAUCUGAAAGUUUAAAGUGUUUCACUAAAUGUGUACUUACAGAUUUUGCCAACUACAUAUUAAAACGUGUCAUGAUCUUCUCAAUAUAUUUCUUCUGAGAUAAACGUAAAAAUCCUGCAAUCCUAUAUGCAAAAUCUCCAUACCUAAUAUUUUCUUUGCAACACCUAAAUCUUUUAUCUCAAAUUCAACAUUUAAUCGCCUUUUCAGCACAUCAAUAUCAGACAUAUUCUUAGCUGCUAUCAGCAUAUCAUCAAAAUAUAAAAGUAGAUAAAUCAAAAAACCAUUCUCCAAUCUCCUAAAGUAAACGCAGCUAUUCAUCUGACUUUUUGUGUAGUCUUGACUAGCCAUGAAAGCAUCAAAACGUUUAUACCACUGCAUAGGAUACUGUUUUAGCCCAGACAAUGAUUUCUUCAACAAGCAAACAUGAUCUUCCUUACCUGGAAUAGCAAAUCCCCCUAGUUGCCUUAUGUAAAUCUACUCCUCUAACUCACCGUGAAGGAAUACAGUUUUCACAUCUAGUUGCUCUAACUCGAGAUCUUGCGAAGCAACUAAUGCAAGUAAAACACAAAUAAAAGUAUGUCUUACCACAGAAGAGAACACCUCAUUACAAUCAAUGCCCUCACAUUGUGUAUACCCCUUUCGCCACAAGUCUCGCCUUAUACCUUGCUGCCUCGACACCAGGAAUGCCUUCUUUCCGUUUAGAGACCCAUUUACUUCCGACAAUCUUUUGGCUCUUAGGUACAUUGACCAGUUCCCAUAUUUGAUUUCGAUGGAGUGUUUACAUCUCUUCACUCAUAGCCCUUAACCACUGCAACGAUUCCGAACUAGCCAUCACCUCAGAGUAAGACGAAGGCUCAUCUGUCUCCACCUCAUCACCUACAGUCAAUAAAUAAGCAAUAUAUUAUAACCAUAACGUAUCAAUGAUUUAAUUUGCCUUCUCUGUCUAUCUACUACUAUAAUGUGCUACGGCUUUGCUGGUUGUUCAUUAUCACCGACUUCAGGAAAUGCAGCCUCAUUUGCAGUCUCAACUUCUGUUACCUUCAAGAUCUCCGGAGUCUCCACCUGAAGCUCCACCCCACUAAUAACACCAUGAUUUGUCUUCUCUGCUGGUUAUGUCUCAUAACUCCUCUAUUAAAGCAUUGUAGUCUCGUCAAAUAUCACAUCUCUGUUGAUUAAAAAAUGGGGUGAUCUGGGAUCAGUGCACCAUAGUCGGUAGCAUUUCACCCCAUGUGCAUAAUCCAGAAAUAUGCACUUCUUCACCCUCAGCUCAAGCUAACCAUCACUUGCAUGAGCAUACGCAAGACAUCCGAAUAUAUGUAAUCUGGAGUAAUCAACAGGUUUCCCCAACCAUACUUCCUCAGGAAUCUUCCACUCGAUAGCAAAUGAUGGAGAUCGAUUAAUUAGAUAACAUGCCAUGUUCACUGCUUCGGCCCAAAAUUCAUUGCCAAGUCCUGCAUGCGAAAGCAUGCAUCGGGCUUGCUUAAGCAAAGUUAUGUUCUUUUGUUCUGCCACGCCAUUCUACUGUGGUGUCCUAGGUACUGUGCGGUGUCUUACAAUACAUUAUUUCUCACAAAACUCGGUAAAAUCUUUACCAUAAAACUCCAUGCCAUUAUCAGUUUUCAAGCACUUGAUUUGUUUAUCUGAUUACUUCUCAAUCAAUGCCUUAAAUUUCUUGAACCGAUCAAAUACAUCAUAUUUGUGCUUUAGAAAGUAUACCAAUACCUUUCUCGAAUAGUCAUUGAUAAAUGUCAGCAUAUAUCGGGCACCUCCUUUUGAAGGAACUGAAGACGGGCCCCAAACGUCUGAAUGAAUAUAUUCAAUUGGUCGUUUGGUCAAACGAACAUCUAUAGUAAACUUAACUCAGUGCUGCUUUCCAAAGAUGUAGUGCUCACAUAAGUCAAGCUUCCCUGUCUUUUGACCUUUCAACAACCCCCUUUCACUCAGCAUUGUAUACUUGCCUCACUCAUGUGCCCCAAACACAUAUGCCAUAAUUGAGUCAAGUUAGAGUCUGACUCAUCUGAUGAAACUGCAGCGGUUCCAAUCACGGUCUCUCUCAGUAGAUGAUAGAGAGUAUUCACUUUAUUUCCCUUCAUAACUAUCAUGGCACCUCAAGAGUGUUGGAGAAAACCUCCUUGUGUGUUUUGAAGCUGACAAAACAUUUCCAUCAGUUUAGUCUAAAUACUUGCAGACUCUCUUGUCAAACUCUAAAGACCGCCGGACCACCAGACUCAAGAUUCAAAGUCUACCAUUUUUAACAGUUUCUAGACCGUCAAAGAAGACUCAUCCAAGAUUGAGUAUUUCUUUGAGGAUUUGAUUCUAUCGACUAAAAAAUAUAUCUCGGCUGGAUAUAACAUCUCGGAAUCCAUUAUUCGUCUUCAUAUUAAAUCGGGUAAUUUAGAUCCAUUGAUUGGCGAAGCAAACUUGGAAGGUUUUACUUAUGGAAACCUAGAUCCUAAUUGUAUGGGCGAGCAGGAUUGGUGGGCUAUCGUCAUGUUGCUUUAAUAACUCGAAAUCUCCCUAAUUGAUUUUGUCCAACGGGUAGACUGGAAGAGCUCCUUUGGAAAGUGCCAAUAGUUAUGAAGGCAUGGAGGAGUAUAUAAGGAAGAUGUUCCAGUUAUUCGAGUGUGUGCGUGAUAGAAAAAUUUCAAAAUCUGAAACUCCUUGUUCUUGGCCAAUUCAUUUGUUGAGCGUAAACUUAUACUCAAAAGAGAGUUUAUACAUUUGUGAGACCUUGAGGAAGUGUAGCGGAGUCUCUACACUGUGGAAUCAAGGACGUGAUACUGUAAUGACUCUUUUGAUUCAUAGUGAAAUCCAGCCAAUGAGCUGUUAGUGCGGGAGAGUGGACGUAGGCUUGGAUUAAGCCGAACCACUAUAAACCAUGUGUUCUUAUUCUUUUCCCUAAACUAUUUUACUUUAUUCGUAACUUUAUUUAAUUAUUAGAGUCUUGUUUCUAUUUCAAAGUCUACCGUUAAACAGACUCAGAUUAAAAGUAAAGUUUUACACUAUUCUUCGCAAAAGUUUAUUUUCGCACAUAUUCACCCCCCUCUAGGUGUUCAUACUAACAUUCACAAUUGGUAUUAGAGCAUGUGUACUCAUUUAAAUUCAAGUGUUUUUACUUCAGAGUUAACGAUCCAUGGCUAGUAUGUUGGCUCUAGGUUUGGUUGAAGGGCAAAGCAAUACCAGAUCACCUUACUUUGAUGGAAAGGAUUACAAUAUAUGGAAAAACAAGAUGAAGGCAUUCCUAAGAUCAAAAGAUCCUCUAGAAUGGGAUGUGGUAGACAAAUGAAUUAUUCCUAAAGCUACAACAGUCUUAGAAAGGGGAAAAGAAGCCGUUGAGUCCAGCGAGAUGACUCAAGAAGAAAUAACCAAGAGAUAAGCUCUUGAUGCAAAAGCAAUUUAUUUUUUAUAUUGUGCAUUAUCUCCCACUGAAUAUAACAGAAUAUCUUAUUGUGAAACAGUUAAAGAAGUCUGGGAUAGAUUGCACAUCACCUAUGAAGGAACCAAUUGAGUGAAAGAAACUAGAAUCAAUAUUCUGCUCGGUCAAUAUGAAGCAUUCAAGAUGAAACCAGGAGAAUCUAUCACUGACAUGUUUAGUCGUUUUACAGAAAUCGUGAAUGGUCUUGGAAUCACAUAAGGACUUCAAUAAGGGAGACACAAAUGAUCAUGCCACUAUUUGUUGACGAUUUGGUUGGCACUCUUCAGUCUUAUAAAGAGGAGCAAAUCAAUGAAGUUAAAGAUCCGAAAGGUAAAAAAAUCUACUACAUUAAAAUCUAAUGAUGAUUCUGAUGUUACAGAUUCAUAAGAUGAUAUGAACGAUGAAGAGCUUGCUCUUAUGAUAAGAAGGUUCAGAAAACUGAACAAAAGGGAAGAAAAUUCAAUUGGAAGAAACAAAAUUCUCAAAAGUCUCAAAAUAAAUCAGUUGAGGAUGAUGAAUCCAAUAAAGAUGUGAUUUGUUUUGAAUGCAAGAAAAAGGGACACAUCAGACCCAACUAUCUCUUACUGAAGAAAAAGAAAGGGAAAGCUGAGAAAUACAUAAAAGCUCUCAAAGCAAAAACUUGGAGUGAUACCAAGUGUGAAGAGAGUGAUGAUGAUUAUGCUAAUAUCUAUCUAAUGGCACAAUCAGAAUCAGAUUUAGAUUCUGAGACAGACUCGAACUCAGAUAGUGAAAUUGAGGUAAGUAAUUUAAAAAUUCCUACUAAAGUCUCUAAAUUUAUUGAUGAAUUGUGUCUUAGUCUCAAAAUCUCUCUCAAGAGGAUUUCCGAACUAAAAAAAAAAAAAAAAAUUCUGCACUGAAGCAACAGGAGAUUGUUUGGAAAGAAAAAGGUCGAAAAUUUAGAUAAAAGUGUUAUUAUUUUGAAAGAAAAUGCACUUUUGAAAAAUGUCAUUUCAAAUGUUUCAAAAAGGUAUUUUAUAGGAUCUGAGAAAUUAGAAAAGAUUCUCUCAGCACAAAGACCUUACUUUAACAAAUCAGGUUUAGGAAUGACUGCUGAAAUCAUUCCUUUAACUGAUUUUCCUAAAGUAAAUGAAAGAAUUAAACAAAGACUGACAAAAGAUUAUUAUAAAAAUCAUUUCCAAAAAGUCUUUGUAAAACCUGUAGACCGUAGUAUUCUCAAAUGUUCUAAGUGCAACAGCUUAGAACAUUUUGAGAAAGAAUGUCCAUGGUUUGGAAACCUGUUAAUAAGGUUUUGAUAAAGACUGUAUAUUGCACUAACUCCAUUGGACCCAAAAAAGUAUAGGUACCAAAGAAAGCAUGAGUUUCUUUUUUAAAUGCAGGUUACUAUCAAGAAAAAUGUUAAAUGGUACUUGGAUAGUGGAUGCUCAAGACAUAUGACAGGAGACUCAAGUUGUUUCAUAAAGAUUAUACAAGUUAAUGGUGGAAAAUUUUCUUUUAGAAGAAAUAUCAAAGGUAGGAUUGUGGGAUACGGAACCGUAAAAAUUGGAAGUCUCACAAUCAGUAACAUUUCCUUAGUGGAAGGACUCAACUAUAACUUGCUAAGUAUUAGUCAACUGUGCGACACAGGUUACAAAAUCAACUUUCAAGAAGGAACAUGUUCAGAAACCAGUAAAGACUCCUCUCAGACAUUCACGAGGCGAAGACAUGGGAAUAUACGGAUAAGUACACUAAUGGUGCCAUAAGUUGGAGGUAAUAAAUAUUGCCUAGUAAUAGUGGAUGAUUAUUCACGAUUCAUUUGGGUAUUUUCCUGGCAAGUAAGUCCGAAAUAUUUUCUUAUUUUAUAAAAUUUGCUAAGAAAGUUCAAAAUAAGAAAGGGUAUGCUAUUUCAAGUAUACGGACAGACCAUGGAGGUGAAUUUGAAAAUCAAGACUUUACUAAAUUCUGUGAUGAAUCUGGUUUUCAACAUGUGUUCUCUCACCAUACACUCCAGAACAGAAUGGAGUUGUGGAAAGGAAGAAUAGAUCAUUGCAAGAAAUGACUAGAACACUUUUAAUUGAAAGUAACAUUUUCUCUCUUUUUGGGCUAAAGCAGUUUUUACAGCGUGUUAUAUUAUUAAUAGAGUCUUCUUAAAGCCUAUUCAGGAGAAAACUCCCUAUGAGUUGUUCAAGGAGGGAAAGAAGUCAAUUGUUUCUUAUUUUCAUGUGUUUGGAUGCAAAUGUUUUAUAUUGAAAAAUGCAAAUGAUCGAAUUGGUAAGUUUGAAGAGAAAUCAAACGAAGGCAUCUUCCUUAGAUAUUCAACCACUAGCAAAGCUCACAGAGUAUACAACAAAAAGACUCAAUUUGUGGAGGAAUCGAUGAAUGUCAAAUUUCAAGACUUUAUACAAAAUUAAUCGAUUCAGACUCAAUAUGAAGAAUUCGAACCUGCUCCAAACUCUACAAAGUCUAAAUCUCCAAAAGCAGCUCAGACUUUAGAAGACCAGCAACGAAUGAUCGUUGAAGAAUCAAAUGAAGAAAAAGAUCAACAGUCUGACAAACUAACUAGCAGCUGGAAGCACAAGUCUAGUCAUCCCCAAGAACUCAUUAUUAGUGACAUUAGUGAAGGAAUUCGUACAAGAUCCAAAAGGCGUGAAGAGUCUAGUGCUGUGGCUCUUAUUUCUGAAAUACAACCCAAGAGCAUAGAAGAAGCUUUAAUUGAUGAAAGCUAAAUUGAAGUUAUGUAAGAAGAACUCAGGCAAUUUAGUAUCAAUGAUGUUUGGGAAUUGACUCCUAAACCAAAAGGUAAAUCCAUCAUUAGAGCUAAAUGGGUUUUCAAAAACAAAAUGAACGAGAAAUAAAAAGUUAUAAAGAACAAAGCAAGAAGAAGGGAUAGACGAUGAUGAGACUUACGCACCAGUAGCAAGGUUAGAAGAAAUUAGAUUAUUACUUGCUUUUGCUUGUUAUAAGAAUUUUAGGUUAUUCCAAAUGGACGCCAAAAGCGCUUUCCUAAAUUGAUUUAUCCAAGAGGAAGUCUAUGUGGAACAACCUCCCGGUUUUGAAGACCCAAGGAGACCAGACUCUGUAUUCAGAUUGAAAAAGACGCUAUACAAUUUAAAGCAAGCACCUCGAGCUUGGUACGACAGGUUAAGUAAGUUUUUAAUUAAAAAUGGCUUUGUUAAAGGUAAAGUAGAUACUACCUUGUUUAUCAAAAAAGAAAGCAAAAACUUUUUACUUGUUCAAAUCUAUGUUGAUGACAUUAUUUUUGGAUCACCUAACGAAAAUCUGUGCAAUAAAUUCUCUAAAACUAUGCAGGAUGAGUUUGAAAUGAGCAUGAUGGGUGAACUAUCCUUCUUUCUCAGACUUCAAGUAAAACAAUUGAAGGAAUGAACUUUUAUCCACCAAGAAAAAUAUGCUAAAGAACUCGUUAAAAAUUUUGGCUUGGAGAAUUGCAAAAAAACUAAUAUACCAAUGUCAAGUUCCUCGAAGCUGGACAAAGAUGAAGGAGGACAGAAAAUUGACCAAAAGCUAUACAGGAGCAUCAUUGGUUCACUUCUUUAUCUUACUGCUUCUAGACCUGACAUUUUGUUUAGUGUUUGUAUUUGUGCUAGAUUUCAAUCAGAUCCCAAAGAAUCUCAUUUAAGUGCUGCAAAACGUAUCAUCAAAUACGUUGCAUCAACUUCUAAUUUGGGUCUGUGGUAUCCUAAAAAAAGAGAUUUUACACUCCUUGGAUAUUCAAACACAGAUCUAGCAGGAUGUAGAGUUGAUGGAAAGAAUGCCUCGGGCACUUGUCAAUUACUUGGGAACAGGACAGUAUCUUGGUUUUCAAGAAAGUAAAAUACGGUAGCUCUUUCAACAGCAAAAGUAGAGUAUCUAGCUCUUGGAAGUUGUUGUUCUCAAAUUUUGUGGAUAAAAUAAUAGCUAAGAGACUUUGGAAUUGAAGACUCAAGCACUGAGAUCAAAUGUGAUAACACCAGCGUGAUUAAUCUCACCAAGAAUCCAAUUUUUCAUUCAAGAGCAAAGCAUAUAGAGAUUCGACAUCAUUUUAGUAGAGACCAUGUUCAAAAUGGAGAAGUCUUGAUCCAAUUUAUAGACUCAAAGAAUCAGUUGGCAUAUAUUUUUACAAAACCACUGGAGAAAAGUCAAUUUGAGCUUAUUCAUUCCAGACUCAAUAUCUUAAAGUCUGAAUAAGUUCAGACUUAGGGUUAAAAGUCUAAAGAUAUUCAAACUUAGAAGAUCAAAAUUCACGAUUGUAAGUUAUUUCUAUUUUAGAAAUUUAUCUUACAGAUAAAAUCUCGAAAAGGUACGUUCAUCUAUUAAUUUGUAAUUGAUUGAUGUUAUCUUCCCCAGUUUUCGUGAUUAUUGCAAUCAUUCAUUUUCGAAAAAGAAGUUAUCUUUUGACGGUUAUCCAUUUUUCAAAAAGGCGGUUAUUUUUUGAAAAUGCAUUUUCUAUUUUUCCUUUUACGACGUUCCGUAUGCCUCUUUUCGAUUGCCUUAUAAACUAAUCGUCUUCCUCACAAAUCCUAAAAGCACAGAAUUUUACUUACUUUUACUCUCUAGUUUAAUCUUCAAAGUUCGCACCUUUCUCGCGAAUCAAGUUUGAAAUCUCUCAAAGACUGUGAGAAUGGCUUCCCAAAGAAAGUCCUCAAGGAUCGCGAACAGGGGACCACAACAUUCUCAACCGGGUCAAUCUCCUCAAGCUAGACCUCAUGAUAUUGAUCAUAGAGCGGAGGAAGAAAUCACUGAAGACGUAGAACCCGUAAGAACUCAAAAGCCUGCUUUUAUCUUUAAACUCUACUCUGCCUUGAAGAAGGGAGGCACUCACUUGAACUAUAUUGAUGCAUUUUUGAAAGAGAAAUGGUAUCGAAAUGAAACCCACUUUUUACGUACAAUGGAACUAUUGGGAAUUGCUCCUGCAGGGUCAACAGAACAAGCAUUUACGAAUAUUCCAAGUGAUCCACGUGUUGAAGGUUUUAGUCAGCCUGAUGGGAAUGAUGAUGAGAAAAUGUACACUCAUUUUAAGCCUAGAAUGAGUGUUGCGGAAAAUAUAAAAAGCAAAAGGACAAACUUGUUUCGUUAAGAUAAAGACAAGCGACUUUACUCUAAGUUGCUAAAGCGGGGAGUGAUCAAUCCAAGAAGUGUGGACUUUGAUUUCCUUGAUUCUUUGAAUAUGAAGUUGCAAGAUAAAUUCACUCUUUUUCAACUUGAACAAUUUUGCUCUAAAGUAACGGUGGCUCAUCCAGAACUUACGACGUACUUCUAUUCUAAUCUAAGUUUCUUGGAUUCGAAUAGAUUUUCUUUUAGUGUUCGAGACCAGGACUACAUUGUUGAUAUGGACACAUUGGCAGAUGUGAUUGGAGUAGAGCGAUGGGCAUUCCAAUCAAUUAGUGUGUAUGUUGAUCAUGCGACGGUAGAGCUUGUUUGAGAUGGAAUGGCUGAAGGAAAAAUUUCUUACUGGAGGAUGAAUGCCUUAAAUAUUUUGCUCCACAAGAUUGUGAUCAAUUGCCUCAGACCCAAAUUGAUUUCGAAGACCGAUGUCUCCAACUCAGAAGCAAAGUUGAUGUAUGCCAUCAACAUUGGGAAAAAGUUCUCUCUGCCUCACACAUUCAUGUUUCAUAUGUAUAGAACGAUGGUGAAAGACAAAUGCCAACUUCCUUACUCAGCGCUUGUUACAAAGUUAUUCAGACACUUCAAUGUUCAGCCUCCUAAGAUUCUCUGUGUUCGUACUUGUGAUCACAUGGUGGUGGGACCGAAAAUGGUUUCCAAAAUGCAUCUGAAGGAAUUGAACAAAGCUUUGGAGUGAUUUAAGGAGAAAACCCUGGUCAAGACUCACCAAGUUUCUUCAGCUACAAAAUGGAAAGGGAAAGAGCAAUUGAUUGCUCCAUCAAAGAAAAGAAGAGCACUCAUCUUGGAGGAUGAAGAAGAUGAGGAUGAUAUCACCAUUUCCGCUUUUGCAUUGAGAAACUUACAUCGUUCCGUUCCAGAGAUUGAGGAGAGAGAGGAUCAAAACAGAGAAGAGUCGGAGCAAAGGAGUGAAGAGAGAGAAUCGUUGAGAAAAUAAGCAAAGGAAGAAAGGACUGCAGAAGAAGAAGAGGGCAGAGGUGAACAAGAAGAGACAGAGCAUGAAGAGUACUUCUCACCACCUGAAGGCAAUGAAACAGGGGGAGUUGCUGAGAAAAGAGGUACCUCUUCAAUUGCUUUUAGUGAAGAUGUUAGUCGUUCACCUUUAGAUCCAGAAGACAUCUAUGCCUCUCAAUUUCCUGAGGAAGGUCAUGAGGUUUCAUCUCCCAAAUCUGGAUACUCAUGCUGACUUGCCAUCAUCUGCAAACACUCCUCAAACUGAUCAUGUACAGGCAAGCACUCAGAUUAAUAAUUCAACAGACUUUCGAAGACUGCUUGACAUUCUUAUGGAGAUGUGAGGCCAAAUUUAUGCCCUAGGAUGUGAAGGUCAAGCCUCUUCAGUUUCCGUGCAUGGUCAAAUUCAUGCCCUUGCUCUUCAAGUUCAAGGAAAUGCCAAGGGUGAAGAAGUGGCUUAAUUGAAGGAGGAUUUGAAAAAGCUAGAAGGAAUUGUCCAGUCGAUGGGAGAUUUUCAAAUUACUCGCGUUCCAAAACAAUCUUAAUUUCAUUUUCUUUUCAUCUCUACCUUUUUAAUGUUGCCAAAAGGGGGAGAUGGUUGUGUUUCCUGUGGAUGCAGAUGUAUUACUAUCUUUACUAAGCUAAUUAUCUUUUAUGAGAUACCCAUGUGUGCUUGAGUAUUGUCUUGCAGGUCAAAAAUAUCCAAAUCUGCAGGAAAAUUUUGUGACCAUAAAAAAAGGGGAGAUUGUUGGAGAAAACCUCCUUGCAUGUUUUGAAGCUGACAAAACAUUUCCAUCAGUCUAGUCUAAAGACUUGCAAACUCUCUAGUCAAAGUUUGAAGACCGCUGGACUACCAAACUCAAGAUUCAAAGUUUACCCUCAUUGACAGUUUCUAGACCGUCGAAGAAGACUUAUCCAAGAUUGAGUAUUUCUUUGAGGAUUUUAUUCUAUCGACUAAAGAAGAUCUCUCGGCUGGAUAUAGCAUCUCAGAAUCUAUUAUUCAUCUUGAUAUUAAAUUGGGUAAUUUAGAUCCGUUGAUUGGCGAAGCAAAUUUGGAAGGUUUUACUUAUGGAAACCUAAAUCAUAAUUGUAUGGGCGAGCAGGAUUGGUGGGCUAUAGUCAUGUUCCUUUAAUAACUCGAAAUCUCCCUAAUUGAUUAUGUCCAAUGGGUAGAUUGGAAGAACUUAUUUGGAAAGUGCCAAUGAUUAUGAAGGCAUGGAGGAGUAUAUAAGGAAGAUGUUACAGUUAUUCGAGUGUAUACAUGAUAGAAAAAUUCCAAAGUCUGAAGCUCCUCGUUCUUGGCCAAUUCAUUUGUUGAGCAUAAACUUGUACUCAAAAGAGAGUUUAUACAUUUGUGAGAUCUUGAGGAAGUGUAGCAGAGUCUCUACACUGUGGAAUCAAGGACAUGAUACUGUAACGACUCUUUUGAUUCAUAGUGAAAUCCAGCCGGUGGGCUGUUAGUGCGGGAGAGUGGACGUAUGCUUGGAUUAAGCCGAACCACUAUAAACCUUGUGUUCUUAUUCUCUUCCCUAAACUCUUUUAUUUUACUAGUAACUUUAUUUAAUUAUUAGAGUCUUGUUUCUAUUUCAAAGUCUACCGUUAAACAAACUCAAAUUAAAAGUAAAGUUUUACACUAUUCUUCGCAAAAAUUUGUUUUCGCACCUAUUCACCCUCUCUAGGUGCUCAUACUAGCAUUCACAAAGAGAUCUUCAGUACUCCACCUUCAGCAUUGUACCUACACCCGAUGUCAUCGAGUGUCCCAAAAAAAAUAAGGUUCUUCUUGAGCUCUGGUAUAUGCCUCACAUUUGUCAAUGUGCGCACCACCCCAUCGUGCAUCUGAAUCCGAAUUGUCCCUAUCCCCAUAACCUUACAAAUUGCAUUAUUCCCCAAAAAAUCUUACCACCAUCUACAGUCUGGUCAGUAGUAAACUAAUUCUUAUGAGGCGUCAUAUGAUAAGAACACCCUGAAUCUAGCACCCAUUUGUUUCCUAACGAAGUAGUAAUCACAUAUAAAACAGCUUAUGCAUCACUAUUGCUCCCCUCGGCAACGUUUGCCACAUUGCUUGUGGUAUUAUGCCUAUCAACUUUAUUCCUUCGCUUUGGACAAUCUCUCCUAAUGUGUCCUCCUCGUGACAUUCAAAGCACUUCACGUGUCCCUUGGACUUUCUAUGACAUGAUUUCGAUCUGCUUUUACCUCUGCUACUACUAGACCCUCAAUGUUGUUCUCUACCCCGAAUAGUCAGUGCUUGCGCUACUCCUUGUGCCAAACCGUCAUCUUGCAACUUUCUCUGCCACUCCUUAGAGAAUAAUGUGGACUUUACCUCUUUUGAGGUAAUUGUAGUACGUCUCUACAACAGUGAAUCAAUAAAGUGCUCCCAUGACUUUAGUAAAGAGGCUAACAACAUCAUGCCAUAUUCUUCAUCAUCAAGUAUCUUACCGACAUUCUUCAGAUCCAUCAUGAGUUUAUUAAAUUCAUCUAGGUGGGUUGUGAUAAACACACCUUCAGUAUAUUUAAAUUGAAACAUCUUAUUUAACAUAUAUAAGCGAUUGUUCAAACUUUUCUUCACAUAGAAUACUUGAAGUUUUGCCUAUAAUGCUACGGUAUCCUUCUCCUCAACAACCUUUAUUUAAACCUCAUUCGACAAAUUUAACAAGAUUGUACUCUUUGCUCUUUCAAUUAGUUCUACCAUCUCAAAGGUUUUCAUUAUAAUAGGCAACUCAUCUUCAAUAUCCAGCGCCUUGGCCAAACCUUGGGUUGUCAAUAAUGUCCGCAUCUUGAUAUUUUAUAACACAAAGUUGUUGCUCCCAUUAAACUUCUCAAUUUCAGAUUUCCUCUCAGAUAUAAUUGAAAUAACAGAAUUUCCAGAUAAUAAUCAGACAAGCAAAAGCUCUAAAUCACAAUCAAGAAAUCUGAUCCCAAAGUACCGAUUGUUGGAAUAUAAUAUGCUAAAACGACAGGAUUUUGCAAUUUACGUCAACGCGAAAUCACCAAAGAAAUAAACGAGAAAUAAUAAAGACAUCAUAAAUUUAUGCGGUUCAAUUCGAGUAUGGGUACCUACAUCCACGGGGAGAGCGAGUAACAAAUAAUCAAUUAUAAUCGGAAAAUCAGAGUUUACAAUCACUCACACGUUCAAGUGUUUCCCCACACUUAGAUUUAUCCACAAACUCAAAGUGUUAAUAAACAACUCACUGGGAUAUAAACUCACGACACAAAAUUACCAUGUGUUCAAACUCAAAGCAAAACGCUUUAUGUAUGCCAAAAUCAAGUCCGCGUACGUAUGGCUUCUCGUUCUUGUUUAACGACUCGCGUGGCUCCUACGUGCUCUUAUGUGUGGCUCCUUUUUUCCACUUGUAGGACUGCAGCGGCGCUCUCUGGACGAACGUGUUGCUCCUUCAAUUUUAGGGCUUUUCGUCACUUUUUCCAUGGGCAAAGUAACGCCCUUUUAUAUGUGUGUGCGCCUAAGGUCAACAAUUUGACCUGGGCCCACCACUUCUGAUUCUUCAAUUCAUAACGAGGCUUUUGCAGUAGACAAAAGAUUCUUAUUUUAUCUUUAUUUCCUCUUUUGACUUGUUUUGUAAGUCCAAAAGAAAAAAUCCAAGAAGGAAAUUGUUUCUUCUUUCUUCAUUAGAUUUCUAAUCCACUUGGAAAAAUCUUCCUCAAUAAAAUUCAAUUUAACAAGUCAUUAUCCAAAUUCAAAUUCGAGACAUUAAUUUAACAGAAAUCGCAAAUUAAUCGAAAUUGAAUUCAAGUAAUAUCGCAAGGAACUUAUUCAAUUAAUUGCUCAUACCUAGUGUAACCUAUUGUAUCUUAAUUGACUUUGAAUUGAUGUCACGACUCUUAUGCCAAAAAUGAAUCGAGGUUUAAUGGUAAAAUUGAACCUUAAUUCGCGAAAUUAAAUUUGAGUCUCAAAUGGAUCAACUUGAAUUUCUUUAGUUUAUUAGCUUGGUUUUCCUAUAUUCAAGAAGGUUGAAUUCCUCUAAUUGAAAAGUUCCCAAAUGAAUCUCCUAAGAUGGACCCCGGAUUCGGACUUGUCUCAAGAAAAUGAGCACAAUGAAAAUGUUCAUUCACAAAUCAUAAAAAUUGAUUUGGACUCCUUAAUUAGGGCAUUUUAACAAGACCGUUCCCGAAACUGAAUGAACGGGUGAAUGAGUAAUUAUCCUUAAAUCAAAUGUUGUAAAAGGAACUAGGUCUAAUUUUGACUAGAACAAAACUAAUUUUAUUUCUAGCUGAAUUUGACUCUAAAGUCAAAUUGAAACUAAAAUGGAAAAUUUUUGUGGAUUUUUUAAUUUUCCAAUUUUUUUGGUCGAAAAUUUGACCAAAAAAUCAACUAUGUGAGUGACUUUUUCUGAAAUGUUGAUUUUGGGUUAAAUCUUUGAAAUUUCUGAAAAUUAACUUGGCUAGAGUGAAAUUAGAAUCAUUUACAAUCUUUUUAUGUAAAAAGCUAACUCUUGAUUCGAGAUUGACUUUUGAUCAAUGGAUUAACCAAAAAGUUAACAUAAAAGUCAACCGUUUAACUUUUGGGGUUUUCGAUGGAAGUGAAUAGGAAAUUAUUUGAAAAUGACAAGGCAAAAGAAAGAAAUGGAAAAUGACUUCUUUUUUUGUUAAAGAAAUAUCCGUCAACACAUCAUCCCAUGCUAGAGCGAAUUAGUAAAGAUAGCAGUUCGUAAGACAAAAUUAAAAUCCCAAGAUUCCCUACAAGCAUUUCAUCAAGAUCUCACAUAAAUUCCAAUGCAGCACGACCAAAUUCCAGGAUCAACGAAAAAAUGAUCCCCGAAUGAAACUUUCACUAACGGCAAUGGCUCCAUUUGCUUUGGACCAAGCAGUUGAAGGUCUCUGGCACAAAUAAAACUGGUGUGGUUCUUCUCCUUUGUGGAGAAAUGUGGUUCAAUUUUUGUAUCCUUUAGUGCACGUUAAAAUCUGAAGAAUAGAAACAAUAAAGCCAUCUUUACUGGUCAUUGGCCAGAUCAGUAUCUGAAUAGAAAUAAAUGGGUUUAUUAUAGCACUAGGAAAAGGUAUAGCUUAUCUUCUACUGGGGUUUUUCUGAGAGGAAGAUUCGGAUACAUCCAGCGCCUUGCUGUUAUUAAACUAAACUAACCGGUCACUUAGUUAAGAGGCCAUUUGAUUACGUUUACAACCACUAAAUGUCUGUUCUUAAACAACAACGUACAAACUUCGAAAACGGUGUAGUGCGACAUUAUAUCUAUCCACGUAUUUGUCUACACUACAUGUCACCCUGAUCUGUAACUUUUAGUUUGCCUUGCGCAAGAUGACCUGAACACCAUAUCGUGGCUGGAGGGUGAUGACAUUAGAAGGAGCAUGCGCAUAAGAUGGAGAGAGCUCAAACGUGAACUGCUGAAGAAUCAUGGCGAGCGCCAUCUUUGCCUCUAUCAAAGCGAAGUUUUGGCCGAUGCAUAUACGAGGGCCCCAUCCGAACGGAAAAAAGGAGACUUGGUUUUUGGUGGCCUUGGACACUCCCUCGGCAAACCUCUCUGGCUUGAACUCCUCGGCAUCCUCGCCCCAAAGUUCUUUAUCAUGGUGGAUGAGGAGUGUCGGCAUUGAGAGCUGGACUCCCGUGGGUAUGGUCAGCUUCCCGAGUUUUGUUUCCUUAAGAACCUCCCGAACCAGAUCAGUCGCCGGUGGAUAUAGCCUCAACACCUCAUUUAAGAUCAUUGUGACCUGAUCGCGACAAAUCCUUAGAAGAAUUCAUAUGGUAGAGAUGCGCAUGUAGGAGCAUCUAUGAACGAUCACGAUGCUGGAAUGAUAUCAAUAUCCUCGAAGAGAUGGAAAUAUAUUGUAAUUUAUCCAGAAAAAGGGGCUGGAGGCUAUUGUCCAAAAAAUCAGGUUCUUGUGUCGAGAGGAAAUCCAAGUUCAAUUCAAGUGUGCAAAGAAAUUGUCCUGUCACUUCAUUGUCGUGUUCAUCUUCAUAGGAUAACAUUAUAUUUAAACAAACAUUUCAUCUACUAAGGAUCAGAAAAUUGCAUCCAGUAAUUAUAGAAUGAUUAUCAUGCGUUAUGUGAUAAAAGAUGCUCGUGAAGAACUCUCCAGAUCGGACCUAUUAUGAGUCCCAUUCUCAACAAAAGAGGAAAAGAGCUUUGAACUUACAAUCUUGAGGUGGCUUAAGCCGUCAGGGUCAGGUUUUCCGCUUCCGAAGAUUCGGAGGACCUCCUCCCUAGCUCGUGCUUGCCAAUCCGAGUGCACACUCAACAAGACCAUGGUCCAAACCAGCAAGACCGAAGUGGUCUCUUGUCCGGCGAAGUAGAAAAGCUUGCACUCCUCGAUCACAUCGUGAAGGCUCAUCCCGACAUUCUCCUUCAUGUUUGACUCCAGCAACAGCCCCAGCAGAUCAUCGCCAGCAGCUUCCCCUUCCCUUAUUGCUUUCUCUCUUCUGCGGAUAAUGUCCAUGAGCAGAGCCCGCACUUCCUUAUCUAUGCUCUUCAUCCUCCUGUUCAUCUUAGUUGGCACAAACCUGCGAAACAUUGAAUCAAAUAGUCAGACUUUUUUUAGAAUGUCAUGAUUGUAAGCCAUAAGCUCAUUUAGAUUCAAUUAACUUAUGGAUGAUGAACGAUUUUACCUCCAGCCAGGGAUGUAGACCGAUUGAAAGGCUAUUAUCGUGAGCUGGGCUUGUUCCCCCUGAAGUUCGCAAAUCCUUUUGCCUUCUUCGAGGCUACUGCCAAACGCUGUUCGAGAGAGCACCUCACGGGUCAAAUUUUGAAGGUCGACCCACGCGUCGAUCUCACAGGAUCUCUCUACUGAUACCAAUUUUUCCCAUCUACCAACCAUCUCAGCGCAACUUGAAUAAAAUGCGGGCAACAUAAGCUGCAAAAGGAACAGACCAACGCAAAGGAGGAUUUAAAAGAGAAAUCCUGAGGCAUCAAUGUGUGUGGUUCAAUUCAGUUGACCAGGGAAUAGUUUCAUGUACCUUCAACUUCUCCAUGUGGAAUGCUGGAUUGAUGAUCUUUCUGUGCCGUACCCAUUUCUCGCCCUCGUGAUUCGCGAGUCCAUCCACGAGCAACUUCACCAGGGGAUUGGAGGCUGGCUUGGGAUAGUCGUUUAUGUUGGAGAAGAUCUCCUUUAGUUGUUCGGGGUUCGUUAUGCGCACUCUCGGUGUUGGUCCUAUCCACAUGAACGAGUCUUUGCCUGCAAUGCACUUGGUAAGAGCCACGGCGCCAAAUGAAAUACAUGGUCUGCUGUCACACGACACGGUCACAUGCAAGUUUUAUUUAAUGUCGCUUUUGUAAGGUAAGAUGUCCUUAUUGUGUGCAUAUCAAAAUAAGCAAUUAUUUAAAGGAAUUGAGAUGCAUUAACAUCUUUGGUCGCAAAAACGCAAAACGGGGAAGUAUGAAUUUCCAAGAUAAAGAAUAGUAUAUUCAAAUGUUCUGAAACUCCAUCAGCAACAGCUUCGACCAAAGGAUGAAACCAAGCGAGUGUUAAUUAAAAGGAAAAUAUAAGUGCCACACGGAGUGAUACUAUGAAGAAGUGCAUAGCAUAUGUUUGGGAAGAUUGAUGCAAGAAAGGGAAGAGACGAGGCUUGAUGUCAUCGGAGAUGGCGAUGGGCUUGGAGUUGGCCUCUGUGAGCAACCGCGAGUUCUCCUUGAGGUCACCGAACAGGAAGGUGUAGGGUUUGCCGGAGAGGCCCUGCUGUCUCAGGAGCCUCUCGAGCCUUUUCGGCCUCACCCACACCCAGUUCACC